GACGAACGCUGGCGGCGUGCUUAACACAUGCAAGUCGAACGGUGAAGCUCCAGCUUGCUGGAGUGGAUCAGUGGCGAACGGGUGAGUAACACGUGAGCAACCUGCCCCUGACUCUGGAAUAAGCGCUGGAAACGGCGUCUAAUACUGGAUACGAGAAGGGUCCGCAUGGGCACUUUCUGGAAAGUUUUUCGGUUGGGGAUGGGCUCGCGGCCUAUCAGCUUGUUGGUGAGGUAAUGGCUCACCAAGGCGACGACGGGUAGCCGGCCUGGUCGGGCGACCGGCCACACUGGGACUGGGAUACGGCCCAGCCUCCUACGGGAGGCAGCAGUGGGGAAUAUUGCACAAUGGGCGGAAGCCUGAUGCAGCGACGCCGCGUGAGGGAUGACGGCCUUCGGGUUGUAAACCUCUUUCAGCAGGGAAGAAGCGAAAGUGACGGUACCUGCAGAAGAAGCACCGGCUAACUACGUG
rnacentral:rRNA from 1 species